rnacentral:rRNA from 1 species
GACGAACGCUGGCGGCGUGCUUAACACAUGCAAGUCGAACGGAAAGGCCCUGCUUGCAGGGUACUCGAGUGGCGAACGGGUGAGUAACACGUGGGUGAUCUGCCCUGCACUUCGGGAUAAGCCUGGGAAACUGGGUCUAAUACCGGAUAGGAGCCAUUUUUAGUGUGAUGGUUGGAAAGUUUUUUCGGUGUAGGAUGAGCUCGCGGCCUAUCAGCUUGUUGGUGGGGUAAUGGCCUACCAAGGCGGCGACGGGUAGCCGGCCUGAGAGGGUGGACGGCCACAUUGGGACUGAGAUACGGCCCAGACUCCCACGGGAGGCAGCAGUGGGGAAUAUUGCACAAUGGGCGCAAGCCUGAUGCAGCGACGCCGCGGGGGGGAUGACGGCCUUCGGGUUGUAAACUCCUUUCGCUAGGGACGAAGCUUUUUGUGACGGUACCUAGAUAAGAAGCACCGGCUAACUACGUG